UGGGGAAUAUUGGACAAUGGGCGCAAGCCUGAUCCAGCCAUGCCGCGUGUGUGAUGAAGGCCUUAGGGUUGUAAAGCACUUUCGCCGAUGAAGAUAAUGACUGUAGUCGGAGAAGAAGCCCCGGCUAACUUCGUGCCAGCAGCCGCGGUAAUACGAAGGGGGCAAGCGUUGUUCGGAUUUACUGGGCGUAAAGCGUACGUAGGCGGAUGAUUAAGUCAGGGGUGAAAUCCCGGGGCUCAACCUCGGAGCUGCCUUUGAUACUGGUCGUCUUGAGUCCGGGAGAGGUGAGUGGAACUCCUAGUGUAGAGGUGAAAUUCGUAGAUAUUAGGAAGAACACCAGUGGCGAAGGCGGCUCACUGGCCCGGAACUGACGCUGAGGUACGAAAGCGUGGGGAGCAAAGCAGGAUUAGAUACCCUGGUAGUCCACGCCGUAACGAUGGAUGCUAGCCGUCGGGGAGCUUGCUCUUCGGUGGCGCAGCUAACGCAUUAAGCAUCCCGCCUGGGGAGUACGGUCGCAAGAUUAAAACUCAAAUGAAUUGAC
rnacentral:rRNA from 1 species